rnacentral:ncRNA from 1 species
CCGUUAGGGGUGCCGAAAUUUAGGCUGAGAUGAAACCCUUUGAACCUGUUGGUUAAUUCUUACGUAGGGAAACGGAGCA